rnacentral:rRNA from 1 species
GACGAACGCUGGCGGCGUGCCUAAUACAUGCAAGUCGAACGCAGUGGGGCCAGGUGAGUAACACGUGGGUAACCUCCCCAUCAGAGGGGAUAACACUUGGAAACAGGUGCUAAACCGAUAUUGAUGGAUUGAGCCACUGUGCAUUAGCGAGUUGGUGAGGUAACGGCUCACCAAGGCCACGCUGCAUAGCGGACCGGAGAGGGUGACCGUCCACACUGGGACUGAGACACGGCCCAGACUCCCACGGGAGGCAGCAGUAGGGAAUCUUCGGCAAUGGACGCAAGUCUGACCGAGCAAAGCCGCGUGAGUGAAGAAGGUUUUCGGAUGGUAAAACUCGGUGGUUAGAGAAGCGGUAACUAACCAGAAAGCCACGGCUAACUCCGUGCCAGCAGCCGCGGUAAUUC